rnacentral:lncRNA from 1 species
UAUGUAACACUGUGCAUUUAUUUACAAAGAGGUUAGAGAAACACACAGAAUCUGGCCCCCCUUUGCACUGGGGAGUCACCAUCGUCAUAAUAAAUACAGUAAUUUUAAAAAAGAAAAAAAAAUACUAGAUUGGAACAGCUGAGGGUCAUCAGGCUUCCCCCAUUCCCUCUUACAGGGAGUGGGGGGUAUGAGAUAGAAACCAUCUUCCUUCCCCUCUUCUACCUCCGAAUCCUCCAUAAUUGUCCAGGAAUCGAGGUGAAAGAGUCCUUCUUUCCAGGUGUUGCCAACCCCUACUUGACCCUCAAAACCCCCAAAUCAGUGCUCCUUCCCUUCCCAGGGCACUCUGCAGGAACCACCUGAGUCAGACACAGUCUCUGACCAGGGUGCCAAGGGGAUAUCUUAAAGGUCCAGGGACAUGGAGGGGGCACUUUGUGAAUGAGAGGGGGCCAUAGCUGGGCAAGGAAAGGAGGAAUGAGAGGGCUCAUCAGGAAUGAGAGAGAGAGUGGUGAAGGGGAACAAACAGACUAGGCUUCUAAACUAAAACGGGGAAAUUCAAACCAAAUUACCCCUUUUGCAUACAUGGACACUUACUGUACAGAUGAGAAAAGUGACGCCCAGAGAAGGGGAACUGUCUUGCCCAAGGACUUCCAAGCUAGAAGCUGAACUGGGUCAAACAGGGCUCCUCCCCAUUCCUCUCGCUAGUGGUGGGGGAGCCUUUUCAACCAAGACUGCUAGGAGUGGGGAGAGUGGGGGGGUCUUUGGAAGCAGAGAAAACGAUGGUCUUUGGAAGGUAGAUGUGGAAGGGUCAGUGGUUGAGAGUGUGGAGGUGCAGAGGCCAUGAAGGGGGAGCCCAAGCAAAUCCCCAAACUCACACUGUAGUCAUGACCUUGAGAGAACCCGAACGGAAACGCAGUAUCUUUUUCUUGAGCGCGUGGGAAGCCUUGAUCUUCACGAAGACUUUGGCGGGGCCGGCGGGCGCCCCUGCACCUGCUCCCCGGGCCCGGAGGCCGCAGUGGCCGCCACCAGCUGCUGCGGCCACACGAGGCCACCGCUGCCGUCUGAGUCGCUGGAGGCAGAGCUGAAGGCAGGUGACUCUCCCUCGCUGGCGCUCGAUUCGCUCUCCCCGUAACCCCCGCCGACGCCUCCCGGAGGCCCCCGGCGUCCCAGGGGCCCCAGGCGCCCGGCCGAGCACUCUGAGUCGCUGCCCGCGCAGCCGUAGAGCAGACGACGCUGGGGAGCUGACGGGGACGGGCCGGGGCCGGGAACACGCGCCGCCGGGGCUCGGGGCCGCACGCGGCGCCCAUCAGCAGCGUCGAUCUCCGCAGUGGAGCGCCAGCGACGGCAGGACCCUGCGGCCUGGGCCGCCAGCGUGGGCGCUGGGCCGCGGCGUGGCCGUGGCGGCCGAGGCUCUUCCCGCUCCGCCGUGGGGUACUUGGGGGGCCCGGAC